AGGUAGGGAUACCCGCUGAACUUAAGCAUAUCAAUAAGCGGAGGAAAAGAAACCAACAGGGAUUGCCCUAGUAACGGCGAGUGAAGCGGCAAAAGCUCAGAUUUGGAAUCUGGCGUCAUUGUGGCGUCCGAGUUGUAGUCUGAAGAGGGGAAUUCAAGUGUAGCUUUGGCUUAAGUUCCUUGGAACAGGACGUCAUAGAGGGUGAGAACCCCGUUAAUGGCCUUUGUCUUAUGCUUAUGUGAAUCUCCUUCAAUGAGUCGAGUUGUUUGGGAAUGCAGCUCUAAAUGGGUGGUAAAUUCCAUCUAAAGCUAAAUACUGGCAAGAGACCGAUAGCGCACAAGUAGAGUGAUCGAAAGAUGAAAAGAACUCUGAACAGAGAGUUAAAUAGUACGUGAAAUUGUUGAAAGGGAAGCACUUGUAACCAGACAUGCUUGCAGCUGAUCAAUUCUGAUUUUUGAGGAUGCACUCAGUUGUUAGCGAGCCAACAUCAGUCAUGGUGACAGGAAAAAGACCAAGGAAAGGUAGCUCCUUUCGGGGAGUGUUAUAGUCCUGGGUGAAAUGCUGCCUACUAUGAUUGAGGACCGCGCUUUGGCGAGGAUGUUGGCAUAAUGGUUUUAAGUGACCCGUCUUGAAACACGGACCAAGGAGUCUAACAUCUAUGCGAGUGUUUGGGUGUUGAAACCCUUUCGCGAAAUGAAAGUGAAUGGAGGUGGGAACCGCAAGGUGCACCAUCGACCGAUCNUGAUGUUUUCGGAUGGAUUUGAGUAAGAGCAUAGCUGUUGGGACCCGAAAGAUGGUGAACUAUGCCUGGAUAGGGUGAAGCCAGAGGAAACUCUGGUGGAGGCUCGCAGCGGUUCUG
rnacentral:rRNA from 1 species